GUGUAAGUGACAUUGGUACAACUAUAGAUGAAAAUAUUUGGAGGGUGCAAAAAUUAUAUAGCUAUGAGUUUUUUCUAAGUAUUAUCGAUGAUUUAAGUUGGGAAGACAUGUUUAUUCUGCAGGAUUACACCACAAAAAAAGGUUUUGGUUCAGACUACUGGAGCAAAUAAACCGGAUAUUUUAUAAAAUAUAAAGUACAAUCAAUCAUAAGUAAAAUAUUGAGUUACUAUAAUCU